UACGUAGGGUGCAAGCGUUAAUCGGAAUUACUGGGCGUAAAGCGUGCGCAGGCGGUUUUGUAAGACAGAGGUGAAAUCCCCGGGCUCAACCUGGGAACUGCCUUUGUGACUGCAAGGCUUGAGUGCGGCAGAGGGGGAUGGAAUUCCGCGUGUAGUAGUGAAAUGCGUAGAUAUGCGGAGGAACACCGAUGGCGAAGGCAAUCCCCUGGGCCUGCACUGACGCUCAUGCACGAAAGCGUGGGGAGCAAACAGG
rnacentral:rRNA from 1 species